rnacentral:lncRNA from 1 species
CUUCCCGAGAGCGGAGCCGACCCCCGCGGGGCGGGGCGGGGCGGGGCGGGGCGCGGCGGGGGAGCUGGGAAGGCCGGCCGGGGAGGCGGCGGAGCCCGUGCUCCCGCCCCAGCUCCUCUCCCGCAGCAGCCGUGCCGCCCCCGCCCCCCCGGUCUCGGACCCUGCACGCGGGUGGCGAGGGGGCAGCGCGGGCGCGGCGGCGGCCGGGCUCCCAAGUCACGUUCGUUCGCUGCUGCUUUCCCAUCCCCUGCCUCCUCGCCCCUCCUCCCCUCCUCCCUCACCCCAGCCGGCUCCGGAGGCGAUUCCCCUCUAGUGACUGAGACGAUCGCAUCUGGGCGAGCGGCGCUUCGCCUCGCUCGCGUCUUUGUCUCCUCCUCCUCCUCCUCCUGCGAGGCUCUGGGGCCGCGCGCAGGGUCUGCAGCAGCCGCCGCAGCCGCCGGAGCCCAGCGGGGCUCUGCACGGCCGCCCGGGGCCGCACCCUCGCUCGGCGGAGGCGCCGGAGGACGCCGGCGAGCCCCGCGAGCCCCCGCGAGCCCCCGCGAGCCAGCCCCGCACCGCCCGCGUCCCGCGCUCCGCCGCCGCCGCGACCCGGCACGAGCCCUCCCGGCCGGGGCUUGGGGUGGGCGGCCCGGCCCGGCCAGCCGCGGGGUGGGGAGCGCGGCCGCCGCAGUUCUGGCAGCUGCACACCCCCAGGCAGACGCAUCCAACGCCUCCUCCCUGCGCCAGGAGGAUGGAGCAGCCGCCCCGGCCCGGGACUGGCGCAAGGUACCCAAGCAAGGACAGGAAUAAUGAAGAGACACGUGUGUUAGUUGCAACCUUCUGAACCAAGCAAGAAGGAAAUCAACAGUGUGGACAGGGCUGGAACCGUUGGCACGCUUGCUUGUUGGAGUGAAUGAGGAAUGGGCUUGU